AUACCCAUUGAAUAUAAUGGGAAUAUCCUACUUAUUGAGCUUGAAAUCAACAGAAAACUCCAAUACAUAACGACUUUCCUUUACAAUCUGCUCUCCUGAGAAAGACCAAUAACAACUAGGAAGAAUUAUUGUUUUAUCCUCUGUGGAAAAGCCAUAUAGAAGAAAGGAAGCAAAAGCUCCUGUGAACAUAACAUAACAGGCAGUGGCUCAGCAAGCAUGUAUAGAGUACAUAUAUGGCC